UCCGCUGUUGGUUUACAAACAAUGCAUCUCAUUUCUGUGAUCGAACAUAUAAAAAAAGAGAAACAAAAGCGGAGCCAGCGACAUCGCUCGAAUUUAUUCAAUCUUGGCGACAAGACCGAGUGUUUGCAGAACCAUAGGAGUAUCGUUGGAAGAGACGAAGACAGGGUAUCUAGGAAGACGUGCCGGCAAAACUAUUGCAAGUUUGACUGUUCAGCAUAAUGUUAGAACAACAAACUCUUCACCUAUGCACGGUCAUCAGCCCCUGCCAGGUCCUGGCCUGUCAUUUGUGUCACAAGAAAGUACCACACCUGGUCAUGUGUCAGGAAUCGGAGAGAUAACAUCUUACUUAGAAGUAAAUUGAAGGCAGCCAACAAUUGGACGGUGGUUCCAAUCAAUGAAAAGAGAGAUACACGUACAUGCACCGAGUACACAGAGAUCAUCAAGGAAAAAACCCUUCGAUCAAAGUUCCGUUUUUAUUCAGCUUAUCCAAAGCUGAUUGCCUCUACAAUUGCCCCUUAUAUAUCCACCUGCGGCUAAUAAGGAGCUGCAAUAUUCAAUAGGUCAAGGGCAAUCAACCCGGAAACAAUAUGAAGAUUUACUCAUACAAAUUGGUACAUGGUGUAUGUAACUAUGUUGUUUUAACUAACUUCAACAUACCAUUAUUAUGAAUUAAAAAAUUUACAAAGCUGAAAUCAAUGAUAACUGACUAUGGGUAGGAACAUGUUGUGUGACUGUGGCAGCAUGGUUUUAUAGGAUGUAUACCAUUGAGUAUGAAAGUGCAUGUGUGACCCUGGCUGUUUUUUCAGUCAGUAGAUGACUUUAGUAUUUGAAAUGAUGCUUGUGAAUUUAUUUGUGUAAUAUGAAGGCGUGACCAAAUGUGUGACAUUAUGGUCGACUGUCCUGUCAUCAUCAUGAUGAUAAAAUGUGAUUUUAAUAAGUGAACUGCUUAUAAACAUAGGGCAGAAAUAUCAUUGAUAAAAUACUGAUGAACAUAGCAUACAAGUGCCCUGAAAUGCCAUGAGAAUAUGUAUUUGAGUUUUAAGUGUGUAAGGUAUUGUGAAUUUUGUUAAUUGUUUUGUUAUAAAAAUAUAGGAUCCAAAGUAUUCAAUCAUAGAUCACUCUGAAAAAGAAUUAGUAAAACCUUAUCUGGCAAAUAACUACAUAAACAAUGGGCCAAGUUCCAGAUUUUUUUGUCACAAGUCAAGACCAUUAACCGGAAUUCUUGACUCUUAUAGGUGUUAUGUAUUAUGAUUUGUGUUAAGUUUUUUAUGGGAGACCCAUUAUCAAAUAUGGUAAAUUAAUUGUUUUGUUAUUACAAUAGAGAAUCCAAAGUAUUUGAUCAUAGGUCACUCUGAAACAGAAGAAUUUGUGAAAACCUUGUCUGGCAAAUAGCUAAAUAAACACUGGGCUCAGCAUUUUCCUGAUUUUUUGUCACAAGUAAAAACUAUGAACAGGAAUUAUUGACUCUUUUAGGUAUAAGCUACCACAGUCAAUGUUGAGUGCGUGCUGCACACCACAUUUGUUUAUGUUCCAUUAACAAUGACAUCAAAGCACAAUGCUAUAUAUAGAUUAUGUAUUGUUUUCCAUUGUUUAUCAGUCUAUAAACAACCAUUAAUUGUAAUAGCCUUACAUAAACUGUCAUAAAGAUGAUAAAGUGCUGUUUAUCCAUAAAUAAAAAAAAUUGGUGGAAUUCAGAAAUAAUUUGAUCUGUCAAAUGUUGAAAGUUGGAAACAUUUAUUCAAAAUGUUAUCAAUCAUAGUUUUGUUUCAUGAAUAUAGAGUAUUAUGUGUUGUGUUUAUUAUGUAAUGGAUUUUGUUGUUUUGGUUUAAAAUGUUUUAAUAAAUAACAUGAAGAAAUA